AACUCUCUCUGCAGGAAGCGCCAGGUUAUACCACUUCCACUAAUCAACCACUCCAUAAAGCCUCUGGACCUUCAGUCACUCGUUGCCACAUCAUACUUUCAGCCAUAGCGUUGCUUCAUCUUGUCUCCUGCCUGCUUACCUGCUUGCCUACCUGCCUAACAAUCUACUACUUUACCUGUUGGUAAAGGACGCCGAGCAAAGGGGCUUCACUCACCGGCCACCGCCACCUCACCUCACGUACCCCGGGAUUCUCCAGCGUGUCACUCCUUUCCCCCUGCACUAUUAUUUAUUCACCGUGUCACAAAUAAAAAUUGACUUUGAAUUGA